rnacentral:rRNA from 1 species
UACGAAGGGGGCUAGCGUUGCUCGGAAUCACUGGGCGUAAAGCGCACGUAGGCGGCUUCUUAAGUCAGUGGUGAAAUCCUGGAGCUCAACUCCAGAACUGCCUUUGAUACUGGGAAGCUUGAGUCCGGGAGAGGUGAGUGGAACUGCGAGUGUAGAGGUGAAAUUCGUAGAUAUUCGCAAGAACACCAGUGGCGAAGGCGGCGCACUGGCCCGGUACUGACGCUGAGGUGCGAAAGCGUGGGGAGCAAACAGG